GAAGGACCAGAUCACUGCCAGCUUUCCGACAUUCCACAUGAACCUUGAGGACAAGGUUCUUUCUGAGGAUGGGAGUGUUGAUAGGAUACAAGAAGACUCGCUAGUUAACGUUGAAGCGGCGCUAAGGAAAUCAACAAGACCACGUAAACCAAACAGCAAAUAUCUUUAAAAAGAUAUAUCUUUUAUUUAGUUUGUUUCAGUAGUUAAAUAAGGGGAACACUUCUUACGUAACGUUCUCCACCUUUCCCAUGUUUCCAGCAUUGUAGGAGUCAAUGACUCCAUCUCAUGUUUCUGUUAUUUACUUCAUGUACUUUCCUAUUUAAAGAAAUGAAAAAGACAAAAAGAGGUAGACUUUCUACCCAAAAACUACUUGUGUUCUUAUUACUUGUGAUCAAUAUUGAUAUCUCUUGGCAAGGGACCUAUCAUCGUCUGUGCAAUCCAGUUUUGGAUGGGAAUCCGAAAUAGCUUUCCCAAAGGUUCUUGGAGAUGUGAUAGAGUCUUUAGCUGGUGCGAUACAUGUUGACUCGGGUUACGACAAGGAAGUAGUGUUUGCGUGUAUAAAACCGCUUUUGGGAUGUAUGAUAACUCCAGAGACUGUGAAGCUGCAUCCUGUGAGAGAGUUGACAGAACUUUGCCAGAAAGCUCAGUUCGAGUUGACUAAAGCUAAAGGCUUCGAGAAUGGUGAAGCUUACUUCACGGUUGAGGUGGAAGCUAAGGAAAUGAGUUUUGCUCACACAGCAAAGGCCUCUGAUAAGAAGACGGCUAAGAAGUUGGCUUACAAAGAAGUCUUGAAUUCACUUAAGAAGUCUUGACUCCUAAAUUUCUCAUUAUUGUGGAAUCGAAUAAAACUCUAUUAAAGAUCUUUCAGAUGAUUAAUAUUCUGUUUUGGUUUAUUUUGGAAAAAUUAACAUUUUUGGUU